rnacentral:lncRNA from 1 species
UUUUUGAAUUUGAGUUCAGGGUUAAAAUAGAGUUAGAAUAAUUUUGUGUUUGGUAGAGAAUUAAGUUUAGUCCAGAUAAGUAUUUGCUUAGAGGAGCUAAAAUAAGAAGAAUAGUAGGUUGUUAUAAAUAGAAAAUAAUAAUUUUGCUCCAAUUUUUAUAUUUGAGUUUAAAAUUUUAUUUUAUAUUUCAAAUUUAAAUAGAUAACUUUUAAAAUUAAAAAAUUCAAAUUAAAAUUUAUUUUUAAAUCUCAAAUUUAAAAAUUUAAAUCAAAUCUAACAAAUAUAAAAUUUUAAUAAUUAAAAAUAACAAUUUAAAAUUUAAAAUUUAAAUUUAUUUUAAAAUUUAAAUUUAAAAUUUAAAAAUAUAAAUAUUAAUUUUAAGAUUACAAAUUAAACAUUUUAAAAAUUACAAAUAUAAAAUGUCAAAUUUAAAUUUUAAAUAAUUAAAAUUUAAAAAUAAUAAUAUUAAUUUUAAGAUUAUAAAUUAUAAAUUUUUAAAAUUUUUUAUUUAAAGUUAAAAUUUUUAAAUUAUAUUAAAAUUUUAAUUGGGAUGGGAUUAACUUUAAUCCCACCCAAUAUGUUUAUUUCGAGAAUAAGUAAGAAGUGUUUAUUCCACAAAUAGAUGUAAGGAAGAACUAGAUCAAUUUUAUAUUUAGAUAAAAUGUGACGCCCCAACUUCCCAGGGGGUCACCCAUCCUAGGACUACUCCCGUCCUAGCACGCUUAACUCUCUUAACCUCUUGGGCCUUGCCACCAUCCAAAAUGCUUAAGCCGGGUUAAGAGUUUAGUCCUAUUAUAUCUUAUAUAUAGGACUAUCUGGGGUCUCACAAUCUCCCCUCCUUUAAGCUCUGACGUCCUCGUCAGGCUCAGACUCACAAGUACCAGGCGAUGUGAGACUCGUCUCGCUAGCCCGUCAUCCAGACCCUGGCUCAGCCGAAACUCAUCUCACACUUCCGGCUGGUAAUUGGCUCUGAUACCAUCUGUAACGCCCCGACUUCCCAGGGGGUCACCCAUCCUAGGACUACUCCCGUCCUAGCACGCUUAACUCUCUUAACCUCUUGGGCCUUGCCACCACCCAAAAUGCUUAAGCCGGGUUAAGAGUUUAGCCCUAUUAUAUCUCAUAUAUAGGACUAUCUGGGGUCUCACAAUCUCCCAUCCUUUAAGCUCCACUUCCGGCUGGUAAUUAGCUCUGAUACCAUCUGUAACGCCCCGACUUCCCAGGGGGUCACCCAUCCUAGGACUACUCCCGUCCUAGCACGCUUAACUCUCUUAACCUCUUGGGCCUUGCCACCACCCAAAAUGCUUAAGCCGGGUUAAGAGUUUAGCCCUAUUAUAUCUCAUAUAUAGGACUAUCUGGGGUCUCACAUAAAAAUUAAGUAUUUUUCACAAAUAAGAAAAAAAAGUGUUUUGGUAGAAUGACAAGAAUAGUGAGUAAUUAUAAAUAAAAAAUAAUAAUAUUAUCCCUUAUAUUAUAUUUGAAUUUAAAUUUUUAAAUUUUAUAUAUAAAUUUUUAAAUUUAAAUAUAUUAUUUUGAAUUUCAAAAAUUUAUAUUUCUAAACUCAAAUUCAAAAAUUCAAAGUUCUAAAUUUUAACUUUGAAAUUGUUAAUACAAGAUUAAAUCUAAAUUCAAAUAUAUAAAAUAUGAAAUUUUAAAUUUAAAAAAUUUAAAUAUCAAUUUAAAUUUAAAUUUUAGAAUUUAAAAUUAUAAAAUUUUAACUUUAAAAUUACAAAUUAUAAACCUUUAAAAUUUUAAUUUUAAUUUUUUAAAAAUUUAAAUAUGAAUGGAAAUAGCUAUUCU